rnacentral:lncRNA from 1 species
AAGAAGUCAGGCCGGUUUAAGCCAUAGUACGGUAAGAGCUAUGCUGCCUGUGAGCCCCGUCCAAGGACGUAAAAUGAAGUCAGGCCGAAAGCCACGGCUUGAGCAAACCGUGCUGCCUGUGGCUCCAUCGUGGGGAUGUAAAAACCCGGGAGGCUGCAACCCAUGGAAGCUGUACGCAUGGGGUAGCAGACUAGUGGUUAGAGGAGACCCCUCCCAAGAUACAACGCAGCAGCGGGGCCCAACACCAGGGGAAGCUGUACCCUGGUGGUAAGGACUAGAGGUUAGAGGAGACCCCCCGCACAACAAUAAACAGCAUAUUGACG